UACGUAGGGUGCAAGCGUUAAUCGGAAUUACUGGGCGUAAAGCGUGCGCAGGCGGUUGUGCAAGACCGAUGUGAAAUCCCCGGGCUUAACCUGGGAAUGGCAUUGGUGACUGCACGGCUAGAGUGUGUCAGAGGGGGGUAGAAUUCCACGUGUAGCAGUGAAAUGCGUAGAGAUGUGGAGGAACACCGAUGGCGAAGGCAGCCCCCUGGGCUAACACUGACGCUCAUGCACGAAAGCGUGGGGAGCAAACAGG
rnacentral:rRNA from 1 species